UGAGUAACACGAGCAGCUCCUCAUACUGGAUGUAGGGCUUUCCUUGCCCGAACCAGUCUAACCCCGUGUCCUCUCACGCCACCAUCCAAAGCCUUACGUGCAUAAAAGAAAUUUACUAGCCGUAGUCUUGAUUCGCUAAUCUUGACAACGAUAGUUGGCGCGCCAAGUAGAGGACCUUUGCGCGUACAUCACCAGCUGUAGAUGGCCAGCCGUGAUGCCAGCUUUGCUCCCAGCUCCCUCGUCCAUUUCGGGAGCUUGGAUUUCCUCGCCACGGGGGAGGAAAUUGAGCUGAUCCCUCUCCUUGUCCUGCCCGCUCGCUCCAUUGUUCCCAGCUCCGCCGCCGGAAUAGUGGUGAGCGGCCGGGCGCGCGCCACGGGGCCCCCUUCGGAGGAGUAGCCCUUCGGGCUGCGCAAUGCCGAGGCAACCCAUGGUCGC
rnacentral:lncRNA from 1 species